rnacentral:rRNA from 1 species
CCUACGGGAGGCUGCAGUGAGGAAUAUUGGUCAAUGGACGAGAGUCUGAACCAGCCAAGUAGCGUGAAGGAUGACUGCCCUAUGGGUUGUAAACUUCUUUUAUAUGGGAAUAAAACGUUCCACGUGUGGGAUUUUGUAUGUACCAUAUGAAUAAGGAUCGGCUAACUCCGUGCCAGCAGCCGCGGUAAUACGGUGGAUCCGAGCGUUAUCCGGAUUUAUUGGGUUUAAAGGGAGCGUAGGGGGAUUGUUAAGUCAGUUGUGAAAGUUUGCGGCUCAACCGUAAAAUUGCAGUUGAAACUGGCAGUCUUGAGUACAGUAGAGGUGGGCGGAAUUCGUGGUGUAGCGGUGAAAUGCUUAGAUAUCACGAAGAACUCCGAUUGCGAAGGCAGUUCACUGGACUGCAACUGACACUGAGGCUCGAAAGUGUGGGUAUCAAACAGGAUUAGAUACCCCAGUAGUC